AUUGAACGCUGGCGGCAUGCCUUACACAUGCAAGUCGAACGGCAGCGGACCUUCGGGUGCCGGCGAGUGGCGAACGGGUGAGUAAUGCAUCGGAACGUGCCAUUGAGUGGGGGAUAACGUAGCGAAAGUUACGCUAAUACCGCAUAUUCUGUGAGCAGGAAAGCAGGGGACCGCAAGGCCUUGCGCUCUUUGAGCGGCCGAUGUCAGAUUAGCUAGUUGGUGAGGUAAAGGCUUACCAAGGCGACGAUCUGUAGCGGGUCUGAGAGGAUGAUCCGCCACACUGGAACUGAGACACGGUCCAGACUCCUACGGAGGCAGCAGUGGGGAAUUUUGGACAAUGGGCGCAAGCCUGAUCCAGCCAUGCCGCGUGAGUGAAGAAGGCCUCGGUUGUAAGACUCUUUCGGUCCGGGUAACGGAAAGUACGC
rnacentral:rRNA from 1 species